CUAAUACAUGCAAGUCGAGCGAACAGACGAGGAGCUUGCUCCUCUGACGUUAGCGGCGGACGGGUGAGUAACACGUGGAUAACCUACCUAUAAGACUGGGAUAACUUCGGGAAACCGGAGCUAAUACCGGAUAAUAUAUUGAACCGCAUGGUUCAAUAGUGAAAGACGGUUUUGCUGUCACUUAUAGAUGGAUCCGCGCCGCAUUAGCUAGUUGGUAAGGUAACGGCUUACCAAGGCAACGAUGCGUAGCCGACCUGAGAGGGUGAUCGGCCACACUGGAACUGAGACACGGUCCAGACUCCUACGGGAGGCAGCAGUAGGGAAUCUUCCGCAAUGGGCGAAAGCCUGACGGAGCAACGCCGCGUGAGUGAUGAAGGUCUUCGGAUCGUAAAACUCUGUUAUUAGGGAAGAACAAAUGUGUAAGUAACUAUGCACGUCUUGACGGUACCUAAUCAGAAAGCCACGGCUAACUACGUGCCAGCAGCCGCGGUAAUACGUAGGUGGCAAGCGUUAUCCGGAAUUAUUAGGCGUAAAGCGCGCGUAGGCGGUUUUUUAAGUCUGAUGUGAAAGCCCACGGCUCAACCGUGGAGGGUCAUUGGAAACUGGAAAACUUGAGUGCAGAAGAGGAAAGUGGAAUUCCAUGUGUAGCGGUGAAAUGCGCAGAGAUAUGGAGGAACACCAGUGGCGAAGGCGACUUUCUGGUCUGUAACUGACGCUGAUGUGCGAAA
rnacentral:rRNA from 1 species